GUAAAAAUGCUAUAAUCAACAAGUAGAAAAGUUUAUGGCGGUGGCUAUCUUUUUGAAAGGUGGUAGUGCUUAUGUAUGUAGGUGCCAAAAUCUAUGAAAAGAGAAGCCCUUUGUCUGUUGCUGAAGCAAUGCAGCUCAUGAUUGAUUUUGGAAGUCUUGUGAUUUCUUUAAUCGGUCUUGU
rnacentral:sRNA from 1 species